rnacentral:rRNA from 1 species
CUGAAACCGUGUACGUACAAGCAGUGGGAGCCUCUUAAUGGGGUGACUGCGUACCUUUUGUAUAAUGGGUCAGCGACUUAUAUUCUGUAGCAAGGUUAACCGAAUAGGGGAGCCGAAGGGAAACCGAGUCUUAACUGGGCGUUAAGUUGCAGGGUAUAGACCCGAAACCCGGUGAUCUAGCCAUGGGCAGGUUGAAGGUUGGGUAACACUAACUGGAGGACCGAACCGACUAAUGUUGAAAAAUUAGCGGAUGACUUGUGGCUGGGGGUGAAAGGCCAAUCAAACCGGGAGAUAGCUGGUUCUCCCCGAAAGCUAUUUAGGUAGCGCCUCGUGAAUUCAUCUCCGGGGGUAGAGCACUGUUUCGGCAAGGGGGUCAUCCCGACUUACCAACCCGAUGCAAACUGCGAAUACCGGAGAAUGUUAUCACGGGAGACACACGGCGGGUGCUAACGUCCGUCG